CAAUAGCGUAUAUUAAAGUUGUUGCGGUUAAAAAGCUCGUAGUUGGAUCUCGGCAGGCAGGGGGUGGUUCGCUCUUAGCGCUACUGCCCCAUUUGCCUGUGUGAUUGGCGGAGGUUUCGGGGUGCUCUUCAUUGAGUGACCCGGGGCGCCGUCAGGUUUACUUUGAAAAAAUUAGAGUGCUCAAAGCAGGCUUUUCACGCUUGAAUAUUCGUGCAUGGAAUAAUGGAAUAGGAACUCGUUUCUAUUUUGUUGGUUUUCGGAAAUCGAGUUAAUGAUUAAUAGGGACAAUUGGGGGCAUUAGUAUUCAGACGACAGAGGUGAAAUUCUUGGACCGUCUGAAGACUAACUACUGCGAAAGCAUUUGCCAAGAGUGUUUUCAUUAA
rnacentral:rRNA from 1 species